GGUGAACGUUGGCGGUGCGUCUAAUACAUGCAAGUCGAGCGAGGCUUCGAGCCGAGCGGCAGUCGGUUGAGUAACACGCUGGUAACUACCCCAAAACCAGGGCUAACGCCGAGAAAUCGGAGCUCAUACCGGAGGGUCCCGUAAAGGUAAAGUUUUUUCGGUUCGAGAGGUGCCUGCGUCCUAUCAGGUUGCUGGUGAGGUAACGGCUCACCAAGCCUAUGACGGGUAACUGGUCUGAGAGGAUGACCAGCCAAAGGGAAACGGAGACACGGUUCCCAAUUCUACGGAAGGGAGCAGUAAAGAAUCUCUCGCAAUGGACGAAAGUCUGAAGGUGCGCCACCGGGUGCAGGACGAAGGCCCUUGGGUCGUAAGCUGCUUUUUUGGGGGAAACAUUCUGAUUGUACCCUAAGAAUAAGCACCGGCAAAUCACGUG
rnacentral:rRNA from 1 species